GGCUCAGGGUUCUCUGUCCAGUCCUCAGCUGCCCUGGAGCACCCAAGAGGCAGACUGGCUGGGUGAUGCCUACGUGUUGAGAUCCUGGUCCCUCCACACACGCUCUACCAGCUGCUGCGUGAUGCCCGUGUCCAAGAUCAGGUUGUGCAGAAGGAAGUUGUUGCCUGGAACAGGAGGGGAGGGGUGGGGGUGGGGGCAUCUUCUUGCAGCUCCUUGCCCACCCUCACCCCCACCCUUAAGGCUCCACCAGGAGCCUCCUCCAUGACCUGGCCCUGGCCCAGGCCCAGCCCUUAGCUUGUGCCUGCUUAUUUCCACACCUGCCCGGCCUCUGGGUUCCUCUGGGCUGGCCCCAUGCUGCCUGGGCACUGCCCAGAGCCAGCUGCCCUGCCAGGCACUCACACUGCUUGGAGUCUGGAGUCACUUUCUCCAUGAGCUCAAUAAAGUUUUUCAGGAACUCGG
rnacentral:lncRNA from 1 species